UUCUGGCUCAGGAUGAACGCUAGCUACAGGCUUAACACAUGCAAGUCGAGGGGCAGCAUAGAGUUUGCUUGCAAACUCUGGAUGGCGACCGGCGCACGGGUGAGUAACGCGUAUCCAACCUGCCCAUGGCUAGGGAAUAGCCCGUUGAAAAGCGGAUUAACUGCCCUAUGGGGUCCUUUGCAGACAUCUAACGAGGACUAAAGGUUUACCGGCCAUGGAUGGGGAUGCGUCCGAUUAGGUAGUUGGCGGGGUAACGGCCCACCAAGCCAUCGAUCGGUAGGGGUUCUGAGAGGAAGGUCCCCCACAUUGGAACUGAGACACGGUCCAAACUCCUACGGGAGGCAGCAGUGAGGAAUAUUGGUCAAUGGGCGGAAGCCUGAACCAGCCAAGUAGCGUGCAGGAUUGACGGCCCUAUGGGUUGUAAACUGCUUUUAUGCGGGAAUAAAGAGGCUCACGUGUGGGCUGUUGCAUGUACCGCAUGAAUAAGGACCGGCUAAUUCCGUGCCAGCCGCAGC
rnacentral:rRNA from 1 species